rnacentral:rRNA from 1 species
CAGCACCUCAAGUGGUCAGGAUGAUUAUUGGGCCUAAAGCAUCCGUAGCCGGCGCUGUAAGUUUUCGGUUAAAUCUGUACGCUCAACGUACAGGCUGCCGGGAAUACUGCAGCGCUAGGGAGUGGGAGAGGUAGACGGUACUCGGUAGGAAGGGGUAAAAUCCUUUGAUCUAUUGAUGACCACCUGUGGCGAAGGCGGUCUACCAGAACACGUCCGACGUUGAGGGAUGAAAGCUGGGGGAGCAAACCGGAUUAGAUACCCCCGUAGUCC